AAACCGGUUGUGCGCCGCGGAAAUACCAGGUGAUUUUUUUCAAAAGUCUUGAGUACGAGAAAAUAUCUUCAAAUGUCUUCACCAUAAUAUCGGAGGAAAGUUCUUCACACAAAAACUGAACUGUGAUUACUCUAUUUGUUUAUUUCAGUUUUGAAGUUUUGGCUGUAACUAAAACCAUAACCGUGAAACUAACUGUAGAAAAGAAUGGUGAUUAGGAAUUUAAAAUAAUAAUUCCUCAGUGUUUUGUGUUGUGUGAAAUAUUUCCAAAAGCCGUUCGACGGCUUUUUUUAUUAGGAUUUAAAAAUCCAGAGUAUCUCGGCUGACCGGAACCGCUAUUCCCGGUUUUGUGCUCGGCGCACCGCAACAUCACCUCGUACCAUCGUGGACCGCACUUCUGACCCUACGUGUUGGGUUGGAAUUCCCGACAAGAGCGUUGUAUAGUCGGAAGGAAGCUGCUACGACACUACAGCGUUUCAGGCAGAGCCAGCAAACGCGUGAGUACCUAACCCUUAAUA